rnacentral:piRNA from 1 species
UGGUCAAAGCUGAUUGAGAUUGAAUGG